rnacentral:rRNA from 1 species
AACUUUCAACAACGGAUCUCUUGGCUCUGGCAUCGAUGAAGAACGCAGCGAAAUGCGAUAAGUAAUGCGAAUUGCAGAAUUCCGUGAGUCAUCGAAUCUUUGAACGCACAUUGCGCCCUUUGGUAUUCCGAAGGGCAUGCCUGUCCGAGCGUCAUUA